UCUAGCCAUUCUUAUUGUUCUGGUCUUUGUGGGGUUCCCAGAGAAAGGACCAAUGUAGGCAAUGGGUGGUAG